ensembl:snRNA U6 U6 spliceosomal RNA
GUGCUUGCUUUGGCAGCGUAUAUACUAAAAAUGGAAUGAUACAGAGAAGAUUAGCAUGGCUGUGGUGCAAGGAUGAUAUGCAAAUUUGUGAAAAGACUGCCCUUUCC